rnacentral:rRNA from 1 species
AAUGAACGCUGGCGGCAUGCCUAACACAUGCAAGUCGAACGAAGCCUUCGGGCUUAGUGGCGCACGGGUGCGUAACGCGUGGGAAUCUGCCCUUGGGUUCGGAAUAACUCUCCGAAAGGAGUGCUAAUACCGGAUGAUGUCGAAAGACCAAAGAUUUAUCACCCAGGGAUGAGCCCGCGUAGGAUUAGCUAGUCGGUGAGGUAAAAGCUCACCAAGGCGACGAUCCUUAGCUGGUCUGAGAGGAUGAUCAGCCACACUGGGACUGAGACACGGCCCAGACUCCUACGGGAGGCAGCAGUGGGGAAUAUUGGACAAUGGGCGAAAGCCUGAUCCAGCAAUGCCGCGUGAGUGAUGAAGGCCUUAGGGUUGUAAAGCUCUUUUACCCGGGAUGAUAAUGACAGUACCGGGAGAAUAAGCCCCGGCUAACUCCGUGCCAGCCGCCGCAGUAA